rnacentral:rRNA from 1 species
GGGAGGCAGCAGUGAGGAAUUUUGGACAAUGGGCGCAAGCCUGAUCCAGCCAUUCCGCGUGAGUGAAGAAGGCCUUCGGGUUGUAAAGCUCUUUCGGCAGGAACGAAACGGUGCGGGCUAAUACCCUGCAUCAAUGACGGUACCUGAAGAAGAAGCACCGGCUAACUACGUGCCAGCAGCCGCGGUAAUACGUAGGGUGCGAGCGUUAAUCGGAAUUACUGGGCGUAAAGCGUGCGCAGGCGGUUUUGUAAGACAGAUGUGAAAUCCCCGGGCUUAACCUGGGAACUGCGUCUGUGACUGCAAGACUUGAGUGCGGCAGAGGGGGGUGGAAUUCCACGUGUAGCAGUGAAAUGCGUAGAGAUGUGGAGGAACACCGAUGGCGAAGGCAGCCCCCUGGGUCGACACUGACGCUCAGGCACGAAAGCGUGGGGAGCAAACAGGAUUAGAUACCCGUGUAGUCCC